rnacentral:lncRNA from 1 species
AAAUUUCUGAGCUUGUUUUGAUGCAUGAAUACUUGUUGUUGAAUUGAAGAAGAAAGGUGUGGUAAGAUGCUUUGACAUAAUGAUUUCCCGAAAGAAGAGUUGAAAGUAUGAAUGAUCAUGCUGUAAAAAUGUAAACACACCCAAACCUGAUGUCACCUGUUCAGUAUAUAAAGUGCAGUGGUGCUCCUCAGCUUUAGUAUCACGGUCCAGGCAAACUAAUCUGCAGAACUGACCUGUUCAUCACAAUGAAGCUGCUGUUUUCUCUGUUUCUCCUCUGGGCACUCUCCACCACAGCUGGAGCCCUUCAGUGUCAAACCUGCACAGAUUCGACGUGUUCAAGCACAGCAGCAAAUACAUGUUCAUCGGAAACAAUGUGCAUUACAGCUAAGAUUCUAGCUACUUCAUCUGGAACUCCGGUCACACAAAUCUACAAGGCAUGUGCAUCUUCCUCCCUGUGUCCAGCCGUAAUCUCUCAGACAUUUUCAGUCGACCUGGGUUUUCAAAGUGCUCUGGCUUCUGCUCAAUGCUGCGACACAGAUAACUGCAACUCAGCAACUCUGCCAGGUAAGUUAAAUACUACGUUGCUCAUUGAAGACAAAAGA